UGGGGAAUUUUUGGCAAUGGGGGAAACCCUGACCAAGCAACGCCGCGUGGAUGAUGAAGUAUUUCGGUACGUAAAAUCCUUUCGACGGGGACGAAAGCCGCAAGGCUUGACGGUACCCGUAGAAGAAGCCCCGGCUAACUCCGUGCCAGCAGCCGCGGUAAUACGGGGGGGGCAAGCGUUGUUCGGAAUUACUGGGCGUAAAGGGCGCGUAGGCGGCUCGCUAAGUUGGAUGUGAAAACUCUGGGCUUAACCCAGAGCCUGCAUUCAAAACUGACGAGCUGGAGUUCUGGAGGGGAUAGCGGAAUUCCUGGUGUAGCGGUGAAAUGCGUAGAUAUCAGGAGGAACACCGGUGGCGAAGGCGGCUAUCUGGACAGAAACUGACGCUGAGGCGCGAAAGCUAGGGGAGCAAACAGG
rnacentral:rRNA from 1 species